ensembl:lncRNA
GUUGCAUCAAGCCUGUGCAAACUACAAACAACAGAACAGUUGCUCACAUUUCUUUUGUUCACAAAGGUCUUUUUGUUCCUCUAAAUGUAAGGAAAUGCUUAAAUUGUCUCCGCCUACUGUAGUAGGUCUCACAUUUUUUCCUUAUACAGAAGAUAACUCCUCUUCUUUGAGGCUCAUGCAUUCUACUGUAUGGAGGUCUUUGAGCCCAUUCUGGUGCAUCAGAAUAAGACGUGGGAUGAAGCCCUGAACUACUGCAGACAGAACUACAUUGACCUGGUGAGUCUAAGAUCUUAGAUGAAUAUGGAAGAGGUGAUAAAAC